rnacentral:rRNA from 1 species
AUUGAACGCUGGCGGCAGGCCUAACACAUGCAAGUCGAGCGAAGCGUCGGACGGGUGAGUAAUGCCUAGGAAUCUGCCUGGUACUGGUGGAUAACGUCCGGAACCGGGCGCUAAUACCGCAUACUCUCAGAUGAGCCUAGGUCGGAUUAGCUAGUUGGGGGGGUAAAGGCCUACCAAGGCGACGAUACGUAACUGGUCUGAGAGGAUGAUCAGUCACACUGGAACUGGGACACGGUCCAGACUCCAACGGGAGGAAGCAGGGGGGAAUAUUGGCAAAUGGGGGAAAGCCUGAUGCAGCCAUGCGGCGUGUGGGAAGAAGGUCUUCGGAUGGUAAAGCAUGUUAAGUUGGGAGGCGUUACCAACAGAAUAAGCACCGGCUAACUUCGUGCCAGCAGCCGCGGUAAUAC